AUUGAACGCUGGCGGCAUGCCUUACACAUGCAAGUCGAACGGCAGCAUGAUCUAGCUUGCUAGAUUGAUGGCGAGUGGCGAACGGGUGAGUAAUACAUCGGAACGUGCCCUGUAGUGGGGGAUAACUAGUCGAAAGAUUAGCUAAUACCGCAUACGACCUGAGGGUGAAAGUGGGGGACCGCAAGGCCUCAUGCUAUAGGAGCGGCCGAGGUCUGAUUAGCCAGUUGGUGAGGUAAAGGCUCACCAAGGCGACGAUCAGUAGCUGGUCUGAGAGGACGAUCAGCCACACUGGGACUGAGACACGGCCCAGACUCCUACGGGAGGCAGCAGUGGGGAAUUUUGGACAAUGGGGGCAACCCUGAUCCAGCAAUGCCGCGUGUGUGAAGAAGGCCUUCGGGUUGUAAAGCACUUUUGUCCGGAAAGAAAUCGCACUUACUAAUAUUAGGUGUGGAUAACGGUACCGGAAGAAUAAGGACCGGCUAACUACGUGCCAGCCGCCGCCGUAAAAC
rnacentral:rRNA from 1 species